GAGAUUAUGGUGCAAUGGUAGCACAUUAGUUUGUCAUACUAAAAGUUGUGGGUUCAAAUCCCACUAAUCUCG
rnacentral:tRNA from 1 species